GUGUUCACUUCGUCAGCACAGAUACUAAAAUUGGAAUGAUACAGAGAAGAUUAGCAUGACCUCUGUGCAAGGAUGACGCACAAAUUCGUGAAGCAUUCCAUAUUUUU
ensembl:snRNA U6 U6 spliceosomal RNA